UAACAUUAUAACUACUAUAAAAGGAAGAAAAAAAAAAAAAACAAAAGCACAAGAUCCAAAAUGAAAUCUUUCCAAAACAUUCCUCCUCCCACCACCCAAAUCCAACAAACCACAGUGAGACACAUUUGGACCCUUCACUAUAAUCAAUGCUAAGUCCAUCAGGGGAGAGAGGAGUCUCCCUUGCACCAUAGACCCCCAGGAAACACAGCUGCCACUCCUUGUGUUUCCAUGUCACACAUGGCACCGCCCGGAGAAAAAAAGUUUGCCAGUGUGACCUUCUCCUUUCCAUGCACAGUGCUCUCACCACCAAUGCAUGGAUGGACAGACUGCUUUUAGGAUUUUGCUUUUCAAGGAUGCUCUGCCAAGAGGGGAAAAAACAACAGUUCAGUUUUUUCAUUUUUUGGGACCACAGUCCCCCCCAUUUUCUUCCUCCCCUGGGGCCGAGGGUCUCAGGAACAGAGAUCUUCUCUUCUUCUCUGAAGACAGGGGGCACCACCACAAACCUCCCCAACUUUUCUCUGUUCGCUCCACUCCUGUGUUUUCCUCAGCUGCUGAAAGUAGGUCUCUUGGCUCACCAGCAUCCUCCUAAAAUACAGUCUCUCUCUCUUGGAGGAGAAAAUCAGUUCAGUCUAUGGCUAACAAGAAAAAGUCCAGCCAGAAGCCACUCCAUCAUGUCCUUCCACCCAGAAUUUCUCCUUCUAACAUCUCAGGUCCCAGGCUGUCUCUCUUCCUCUCUUUCAAGCCGAGGAGGAGUAAAAUUUCACAAAACUUUCAUUUCUCAAGGAAGGGUUACAAGUCCCAACUCCCUGGCUGGCUCUCUGCCCGGAUCUCCGGCUCCCACCUGGGAGCUGGGCACCUUGCGGCCUUGGGCACCACCCCCCCCCCCGGCCCUCCUCCUUCCCCGCGGUACUGCUGGCAAACCGUUGCUGUCUCUAGAGAGAGAGAGAGACUCUGGGGGGGAAACGGUGAUGUCCCAGAUUUUUUCCACCCUUCCAUCUGCAGGGGCCAGCCCGGUUCCAGCCCCUCCACCCUUCGGCCUUACCUCAGCCAGGCCGUGGGCCUUCCCCUCCCCCACCCAGCCACAGGCCGGGCAGGGGAGAGUCUGCACUGCACCCUGAUGGGAACCAGAGAGAG
rnacentral:lncRNA from 1 species